rnacentral:rRNA from 1 species
UACGAAGGGGGGCUAGCGUUGCUCGGAAUCACUGGGCGUAAAGGGUGCGUAGGCGGGUCUUUAAGUCAGGGGUGAAAUCCUGGAGCUCAACUCCAGAACUGCCCUUGAUACUGAAGAUCUUGAGUUCGGGAGAGGUGAGUGGAACUGCGAGUGUAGAGGUGAAAUUCGUAGAUAUUCGCAAGAACACCAGUGGCGAAGGCGGCUCACUGGCCCGAUACUGACGCUGAGGCACGAAAGCGUGGGGAGCAAACAGG